AAUAUUUUAGAAGCGACCCGUCUUAACCUUGUUGCGAGCUUGACUUACGGGAAGAGAUUUUACCUAUGACUUUGAAAUCUGCUAAGGAAAAGGCACUUGCAGCCAAAAAUGCAUCUACUAAAGGCGUCUAUUCACGUUCAGUACGGAAAAUUCGAACAUCUACAACAUUUCACCGCCCGAAAACUCUUCGUCUUCCUCGCAAUCCUAAGUAUCCUAGAAAAUCAAUGCCAAAAAGAAAUAAAAUGGAUAAGUUUACUAUCGUAAAACACCCCCACACUUCGGAAGAGUCUUUAAAGAAAAUUGAAUUACACAACACGUUAGUUUUUAUUUGUGAUGUCCGAGCGAAUAAGCAUCAAAUUCGGCAAGCUGUUCGAGAACUUUAUGAGGUUGAAAGUUCCAGAGUCAAUACUUUAGUAAGACCUGAUGGGCAAAAAAAAGCUUUUGUUCGGCUUAAGGAAAAUUAUGAUGCCCUUGAAAUUGCC